rnacentral:lncRNA from 1 species
GCCAUGUUCCACCACUGCUCCUGCUACUUAAAGAGCACAAGUUUCCACAGAGUCUUCGUACCACUCCACAACUGCCUCAGGAGCCACUAAACGAGUGUUGGGUUUCAGCCGGAGAUGGAAUUCCCUUCCAAACGCGGUGACGUUAAAAUACAGCUGUUUGGGGCUCUGGGAUACCUCCCGCGUUGAUCUUCUUUGAUGGCUUGCAGAGAGUACAUUGGAGAUAUAGCUUCCGUCUGCAUUGGUACUAAUUGGAAUCACUAACCCAUACGGCCUUGGUCUGCUUUUUGGUAAUUCUAUUUGGAUCUGUUGUUCUUCACCAGCCUGCCGGCCGGCUGCAGCGCGGGCCCCCAGGAGCGCGGCUGCCACUACCCACAGGGGCAGGAGCACCAUCACGAGCCGGCCGCCCGCGGACCGCCGCCCCGCGCGACCGCACGCUCCCGGCCCCGGCCGCGCUCUUCCUCUCCUCCUCCGUUCGCCUUCUUCUCCGGCUCUCUCUCCCUGCGAGCCCCCGCCUCGGCCGUCCCCGGGCUGCAGCACCCCGCUAGCGCCGGCGCCCCGGGGCCGGCGGCCGGGCGGGCUGGGCGCGAGCGGCGGUGGGGCGGCGAGCGACCGCGCCGCCUCCUGUUGCUCGCUGCGCCCUGCCUGCGCCACGCAUCGCGACCUGCGGCGCUAAUAAAGCCGCACCGGCCCCCGGGCGCGGCCCCGCCUUCGGCACGGCUCGGCACACCGACGUCAGGGCCGCCCAGCCGCCAGCGGCCGCCGGAGCCGCACCUGGGCCGGCCCGGGGCUCCGCCGCCCCCUCACAAAGGACGCGCCCCGAGCGGCCCGCCGAGGGGAGCGGGCGCGGGGCAGGUGCAGCGCGAGCCCGGGCAGCGCCUCAGGCCGCUGACAGGGCCGCAGUCCCGCGCCACAAAGAGCCGCGUCCCGGCCCGGGUGGAAACCCUAACUAACCCCCUCCCAGCGGCCUUCCCCGCGCAAAUCCCGCCGGGAGCUCUCCCUGUCCCGUACGUUCGCCUGGCAGAUGUGACGCCGUUGAGGCUCAGCAAGGAGAAGCCACGAACGGGCGAAAGCGGGGGUAUCCCCAAGGGGAGAAGCGAGCGAAAAGCUUUACGGAUGCUUUUUACUUGUAAACAAAUAUCCAGGGGGGAUAAAGAGCUCCCGCGUUCCUGCACUGCAGCAGUACUCAAAAGACG